UGUACAGGGUUUAAUGUGAGGAUCUUUAAGAGUUACAUGGCUGUCAUUCAUAUAAAUAAAAAAUUCAAAGACUCUAAAACUGAUGCACGAGUAUGUCAAGUUAACAGAAAGAAGUGACUCUACAGUUUCUACUGCAUGUACUGUAUUUGUAUGUGUUGUCAGGAUGCGUUCUUUCCGGACCCUGUGCAGACGACACAAUCCAGGGUAGAGUGAGGAAAC